rnacentral:pre_miRNA from 1 species
UGCCCUAGCAGCGGGAACAGUACUGCAGUGAGUGUUUGGUGCCCUGGAGUAUUGCUUCCGCUGCCUGGGUA